AACGAACGCUGGCGGCAGGCUUAACACAUGCAAGUCGAACGCAUCCUUCGGGGUGAGUGGCAGACGGGUGAGUAACGCGUGGGAACGUGCCCUUCAGUUCGGGAUAACCCAGGGAAACUUGGGCUAAUACCGGAUACGUGCGAGAGCAGAAAGAUUUAUCGCUGAAGGAUCGGCCCGCGUCUGAUUAGCUAGUUGGUGGGGUAAUGGCCCACCAAGGCGACGAUCAGUAGCUGGUCUGAGAGGAUGAUCAGCCACAUUGGGACUGAGACACGGCCCAACCGCCUACGGGAGGCAGCAGUGGGGAAUAUUGAACGAUGGGCGCAAGCCUGAUCCAGCCAUGCCGCGUGAGUGAUGAAGGCCUUAGGGUUGUAAAGCUCUUUCGUCCGGGACGAUAAUGACGGUACCGGAAGAAGAAGCCCCGGCUAACUUCGUGCCAGCCGCCGCCGUAACAC
rnacentral:rRNA from 1 species